CAGCAGCCGCGGUAAUACGUAGGUGGCAAGCGUUGUCCGGAAUUAUUGGGCGUAGAGGGCUCGCAGGCGGUUUCUUAAGUCUGAUGUGAAAGCCCCCGGCUCAACCGGGGAGGGUCAUUGGAAACUGGGAAACUUGAGUGCAGAAGAGGAGAGUGGAAUUCCACGUGUAGCGGUGAAAUGCGUAGAGAUGUGGAGGAACACCAGUGGCGAAGGCGACUCUCUGGUCUGUAACUGACGCUGAGGAGCGAAAGCGUGGGGAGCGAACAGGAUUAGAUACCCCCGUAGUCCCUGUCUCUUAUAC
rnacentral:rRNA from 1 species